rnacentral:rRNA from 1 species
GUGAUUGGGUGGUAAUGCCGGAUGCUCCAUCACACCGCAUGGUGUGUUGGGAAANGCUUUGCGGCAUGGGAUGGGGUCGCGUCCUAUCAGCUUGAUGGCGGGGUAACGGCCCACCAUGGCUUCGACGGGUAGCCGGCCUGAGAGGGCGACCGGCCACAUUGGGACUGAGAUACGGCCCAGACUCUACGGGAGGCAGCAGUGGGGAAUAUUGCACAAUGGGCGCAAGCCUGAUGCACGACGCCGCGUGAGGGAUGGAGGCUUCGGGUUGUAAACCUCUUUUGUUAGGGAGCAAGGCACUUUGUGUUGAGUGUACCUUUCGAAUAAGCACCGGCUAACUACGUGCCAGCAGCCGCGGUAAUACGUAGGGUGCAAGCGUUAUCCGGAAUUAUUGGGCGUAAAGGGCUCGUAGGCGGUUCGUCGCGUCCGGUGUGAAAGUCCAUCGCUUAACGGUGGAUCCGCGCCGGGUACGGGCGGGCUUGAGUGCGGUAGGGGAGACUGGAAUUCCCGGUGUAACGGUGGAAUCGAA